AAUGUAGGCUCCUAUAAAUGACUAUAAGGCUACUGAAGGAAGUGUAGUGGUUGCAGAGUGAAGAUGUUUUCACGGGUCGUUAAAAGUGUGAAAAUGGUAAGAAUAUGUA